GUGAGUGUUCAAGGGCGCAUGGUGGAUGCCUUGGCAUCAAGGGCCGAUGAAGGACGCGGUAAUCUGCGAUAAGCCUCGGGGAGUUGGUAAACGAGCUGUGAUCCGAGGGUGUCCGAAUGGGGAAACCUCGCUGCGUGUUGUGCGUAGUGACCACAGGGUGAAUGUAUAGCCUUGUUGGGGGUGACGUGGGGAAGUGAAACAUCUCAGUACCCAUAGGAAGAGAAAAUAAUAAUGAUUCUGUUAGUAGUGGCGAGCGAACGCGGAAGAGCCUAAACCGUGUGUGUGUCAAGCGUGCUGGUUUUGCAUGCGCGGUGUUGUGGGGCCGAUCGUCCUAGUUCAGCAUGGCUGGGGCAUGGAUGCAGUGUGGUAGGUGAACAGGUUGGGAAGCCUGACCGGAGUGGGUGAGAGUCCCGUAGCUGAAACUGUGCUGGUCUGUGUGUGUUGGUGCCCGAGUAGCACGGUACUCGUGGAAUGUCGUGUGAAUCUGCCAGGACCACCUGGUAAGGCUAAAUACUCUUGGUGACCGAUAGCGGAUAGUACCGUGAGGGAAUGGUGAAAAGUACCCCGGGAGGGGAGUGAAAGAGUACCUGAAACCGUGUGCCUACAAUCCGUCAGAGCCCUGUGGGGUGAUGGCGUGCCUUUUGAAGAAUGAGCCUGCGAGUUAGUGGCAUGUGGCGAGGUUAACCCGUGUGGGGAAGCCGUAGCGAAAGCGAGUCCGAACAGGGCGUGUGAGUCGUGUGUCCUAGACCCGAAGCGGAGUGAUCUAGCCAUGGACAGGGUGAAGCGCCGGUAAGACGGCGUGGAGGCCCGAACCCACCUAGGUUGAAAACUGGGGGGAUGAUCUGUGGUUAGGGGUGAAAGGCCAAUCAAACUCUGUGAUAGCUGGUUCUCCCCGAAAUGCAUUUAGGUGCAGCGUUACGUGGUGCUUUGCGGAGGUAGAGCGACUGGAUGACUGAUGGGCCCGCGAGGGUUACUGACGUCAGCUAAACUCCGAAUGCCGUGAAGUCAGCGUGGCAGUGAGACUGCGGGGGAUAAGCUUCGUAGUCGAGAGGGAAACAGCCCAGACCAUCAACUAAGGUCCCUAAGCGUGUGCUCAGUGGAAAAGGAUGUGGAGUUGCAGUGACAACCAGGAGGUUGGCUUAGAAGCAGCCAUCCUUGAAAGAGUGCGUAAUAGCUCACUGGUCAAGUGAUUCCGCGCCGAUAAUGUAGCGGGGCUUAAGCACACCACCGAAGUUGUGGCAAAAACAUGUUCAACCGAUAACUCGGGUGUUUUUGGGUAGGGGAGCGUCGUGUGGCCGGUGAAGCUGCGAAGUGAUUCAGUGGUGGAGGCUAUACGAGUGAGAAUGCAGGCAUGAGUAGCGAAAGACGGGUGAGAAACCCGUCCGCCGAAUGACCAAGGGUUCCAGGGCUAGGUUAAUCCGCCCUGGGUUAGUCGGGACCUAAGGCGAGGCCGACAGGCGUAGUCGAUGGACAACGGGUUGAUAUUCCCGUACCAGUGAAGAACCGUCCAUACCGAAGAAUCUGAUACUAACCAGUGCCACACCCGCACUGCACUCCCUUUGGGAGUGUGUGUGGUGUGUGGUGGUGGGACCUGAGGGUUUUGUAGGUAAGCGUGUUAACAGGUGUGACGCAGGAAGGUAGCCGGGCCGUGCGAUGGUUGUCGCGGUCUAAGGUUGUAGGCCGUGUGGUUGGCAAAUCCGCCACACAUACAGGCUGAGAGCUGAUGGGCGCCCCACAAUGGUGGGGUGAUCCGGUGAUCCUCUGCUGCCAAGAAAAGCAUCGACGUGAGGUUCAAACUGCCCGUACCCUAAACCGACUCAGGUGGUCAGGUAGAGAAUACCAAGGCGAUCGAGAUAAUCGUGGUUAAGGAACUCGGCAAAAUGCCCCCGUAACUUUGGAAGAAGGGGGACCACCCCGGUGAACAACCCUUGCGGUUGGACGUGCUGGUGGUGGUCGCAGAGGCCAGAGAGAAGCGACUGUUUACUAAAAACACAGGUCCGUGCGAAGACGUAAGUCGAUGUAUACGGACUGACGCCUGCCCGGUGCUGGAAGGUUAAGAGGAUCUGUUAGAACCCUCGGGUUCGAAGCGGAGAAUUUAAGCCCCAGUAAACGGCGGUGGUAACUAUAACCAUCCUAAGGUAGCGAAAUUCCUUGUCGGGUAAGUUCCGACCUGCACGAAUGGCGUAACGACUUCUCUGCUGUCUCAACCGCGAACUCGGCGAAAUUGCAUUACGAGUAAAGAUGCUCGUUACGCGCAGCAGGACGGAAAGACCCCGAGACCUUCACUAUAGUUUGGUAUUGGUGUUCGGUGUGGCUUGUGUAGGAUAGGUGGGAGACUGUGAAGCAUGCACGCCAGUGUGUGUGGAGUCAUUGGUGAAAUACCACUCUGGCCAUAGUGGAUUCCUGAACUUCGGACCCUGAUCGGGUCCAGGGACAGUGCCUGAUGGGUAGUUUAACUGGGGCGGUUGCCUCCCAAAGAGUAACGGAGGCGCCCAAAGGUUCCCUCAGCCUGGUUGGCAAUCAGGUGGUGAGUGUAAGUGCACAAGGGAGCUUGACUGUGAGACGGACGUGUCGAGCAGGAGCGAAAGCUGGGACUAGUGACCCGGCCAUGGCUUGUGGAAGCGUGGUCGCUCAACGGAUAAAAGGUACCUCGGGGAUAACAGGCUGAUCUUGCCCAAGAGUCCAUAUCGACGGCAUGGUUUGGCACCUCGAUGUCGGCUCGUCGCAUCCUGGGGCUGGAGUCGGUCCCAAGGGUUGGGCUGUUCGCCCAUUAAAGCGGUACGCGAGCUGGGUUUAGAACGUCGUGAGACAGUUCGGUCCCUAUCCGCUGCGUGCGUAGGAAAUCUGAGAAGGGCUGUCCUUAGUACGAGAGGACCGGGACGGACGAACCUCUGGUGUGCCAGUUGUACCGCCAGGUGCAUGGCUGGUUGGCUACGUUCGGGAAGGAUAACCGCUGAAAGCAUCUAAGCGGGAAGCCUGCUUCAAGAUGAGAUUUCCCCUGAGGUGUCCAGUAGACGACUGGGUUGAUAGGCCAGAUGUGGAAGCACAGCAAUGUGCGCAGCUGACUGGUACUAAUACACCAAUCACUCACCCA
rnacentral:rRNA from 1 species